rnacentral:tRNA from 1 species
GGCCCCGUAGCUCAACUGAAUAGAGCAUUUGACUACGGAUCAAAAGGUUUCAGGUUUGAAGUCCUGACGGGGUCA